UUCUGAUAAAACAUAAUCUCUGAACAACAAAAAAAUCAACAGAAUAUUGCAAUCCACAUGUAACUGAGACACAUCUAAAAGCUGUCAUACUCCCAGGCAUCAUAUUUUACAGGUUAUACCAUUACUUGCACAAUGGUAUCUGAAAUUCCUGACGUCAGCUGCGGACAUCUGCAAAAGCAGAUACCAGUAGUUUCCUAUUACUGAGAAUAGUCUGUAAGAAAAACAGGAAAAUGCCAACAGGUUCCAUUUUUGCAACUCAGGAUGACAAGGCGAUGCCUACAUAGUCUAUGAUAAACCUUAUUUUAUAUAGAAAUAAUUACUCCAUACACUCUGUUCAAAUGGUUACAAAUAUAGAUAAUAUCACAACUAUUUAACUAUGCUACAGUACUUGUCAAGCAUAAGGUCCUAAAAAUAAAAUCCUGCUUUUCAGCACAUCUGAGACAGAGUUUAAGCCAAGCAAAAUCCCAUAUGCAUUAGUAGAAUUUAGCUUUAAAACAGAGAGUCAGCACAUGGUAUCUUAUUACUGAAGAAACAGCUGAUUGUGUGUAUUCUUGAAGUACAAGAUAGGACCUGCUUUGGAAGUUGGACUUCAGUCAUGCACUUAAUCAGGUAUCAGCCCCAAGAAGAUGGCCUUGAAGAUUCCCAGCAGUACAAAAAAGGCUUGAGAUCAUUUCCAAAAUAUCUGAAGUUGAGCUGACUGGUGGACCUCUCAAUGAAAUAUGGAGAUUGAGGCAGUUUCAUUCCAAAGGCCAAACUGAAGAGCAAGGAUCAGAGCACACAGUGCAUGGAAGGAUAUAUGCCUGAGAGAUUAGCUUAUGCAAGGAAAACAUGAAGGGUGUUUUGAAGGCCUUGGAUUCAGUAGAGAGUAAAAUAAACAUCAUCACAGCCUAAUAAUGAUAACAUAUAAGUUCUCCAGAAACAAAAUCUGGUGGUGCUCAUGGGAAAAGUGAGAACAGAGACACUGCUGUAUCAGUUUCAGUGGUUUCAGAAGAGGCAUCUUCCUUAUCAUGGCAGAGAAAAAAAUUUAACUUCACAAAGAGAUCACAAUAGGCACACAUUUAAGAAAUAGGAACAAAUCUGUUAGGCAGAACAACAGCUUCCUAUACAAAGCUGUUUCAUUCAAAGUCUCUUUACAAAGCUUUGUAACAAGUGUCCUGAGCUAUAUCUUGCAAUUUCUCAGAUUGACUGAGCUGCUCAGCUGUGGGUUCAACUGGUUGGAGGCUUUUGCAGGUGUGCAUAAGGGUGACAGAGAGCGGGCACUUGGAUCUACCGCUUUUUUCAAGUUCUUCUCCAACAUAAAUGACUUUACCUGCUUCUUUUUUUCUGUAACUCCUUCAGAAAAUUACUUCAGUAAAAUACAAGUGAAAACAUCAAGUUGGAGCAACUGUGGAAAUUGAAUGAACCUGAUUAUGACAACCAAGGAAAAGGAAAAGAUUGCUGAAAAACAGGCACAAGGAUUAAUGGUGUACUGCUGCCUAUGUUACAGUCAUGCAUUCUUCCUUCCUUGCAUGCCUUACUCAAGAUUUUCUGCACAAACACACAGCUUAAAUAAAAUGCAUUUAUUUUUUGACUGCUGAAGCCAUUAAGUCCUUUGCAAUGCUCUGAGGUAACAAAGAGAUCACACCCUAAAAGCAUUUAAAUAAAAAAGCUAUAUUGUGCCACAAAUUUCACCUUAGUGUAGCUGGAGCCAAGUCAGUUUAAUCAGUGUAUGUGUAAGAAAAAGACAUCUGUGGGAUUGUGUUCACACCAGUACAGUGUACUGUGACUAAUUUCUUUAAGGGCUAUCCAUUGCAGCACUAAGUCAGCCAAAGGUGUAAAGUUCUUCUCAGAAGGGUGCUAAGUGAGCCUGGGUGACAAUGAGGCUCCUGCUCCCAAAAGAGACUGAGAGCCCUUCAUCCCUAAGGAGUCCUGGUGGCUUUCAGCUGACAAGCAAAGGGUGGUGAUACUGCAGGGUGUUGGCCUGCUGAGGCCGUGGAGCCCGAAUGUGCUGUUUUGGAAGAGGUGACAGCAGCAGCACCUCCUGAUCCUGCAACCUGAAACGAGCACUUCCCUCACCACCAAGCUAUUGACACCUGAUGAUCCCGUUCUAGAUAGCCAUUACGUUCACUUCCUAUUUUGUCUGUGGAGAGAUACUGCUCGCAUUUGCAUGAAUCUGUGAAAUUGAGAGGCUGGAAUAUCUUAUCCCUGAUAUUUGUUGUAUUGGGCAAUGUGUAGCCUAUGCUUAAUAUUCUCAUAAAUAUACACACAUACAAUCCAGGGUGGAAAUUUGUGAGCUGCGGAAAGCCCCAAGCUUUCCUCUCACUUCCCACCCUCGGGGGGAAUUGGCUUUAUUCUUCACAUACACUUGGAACAGCAUCUACCACUCCUCAGGAGCUUAAAUCCAUGCCACCCAAACAAAAGAAGCCCGAGGAUGGCUGAGGGGCACCAAGCAUGUCGCAUGCCUGGUAGCUCUUGGCAUGUGGGACGACAGCUGCCAGGGUGACGCCUCAGUAACCAGAUACAGCAGGGCAGGGGCAAAGCGUGUGCCUGACAGAAUGCUGCUGCACAGCAUGGCCAGGGGAUGGGCCUGCAGCUCUGCUCUGCGCAGCGUGCACCAGGCCCUGGCUGAGCCAGGUUUAGCCCUGCAUAGGCGAGCACUGACUUUGUCAGCAUCAGGUAAGGCUUUCCUAAGCAGCAUUUUUGACCUUUUUGUCCAAACUCACCAGCUCUGCACAGGAAUCCUGGAGGUACAAGGACGUGGUUUUUUUGAGACACCAUGGAUUUGAUUUGUGGUGGUGAUCUGGCCUGCUCUUAUUGUGACUGAAAUCAUUAGCAUGCUGUCUGCUGACUGAAGUUGGACAGGAUAAUGCAAUAAAUGAGGCUGAAAGACUGGGAAAAAAUAGUUUGGAAUAUCAAAAUCUAAUGUAAUAAAACCUCAUCUCUACCUGGGGAAUUUGAUUACCAGAGCAACACAGUAACAUGAAUCAAUAUAAAAGACCAACUCAUGCACUGCGAAUACUUUUAUGAACAGUACCUCUGAACAUUCCCUCUCCUGCCCUGCUGUAAACGUGCUCCUUUGGCUGGAGGGUUGUUAAUCAGGAGAGAGCUGAGGGACAGAGCACUCUGGUCAUCUGGGCUGCCCCUUGAAGCUGAACUGCUUCCUCACGAUAAGGAGACACUAGCCCUUGGCACACCAACAACGUGCAUCAGGAAAUGUUUAGAUUUACCGUUGAAAAAUGUGUUAGGACAGAUUUGGUAGCAGUGACACAAAAAGCUGUCAGCAAUUGACGCAGUAGGACCACCCCUGUUUAUCUGGAGGUUCCCUGUGAGGAAGAGCAAGGAGGGGGACAUCCACAGUGCUUCUGUGCAAGCGAUUGGGCUUCCUCUGAGGGACGCCAGAUCUGCACAUCCCCCUCCUUCCCUCUCCAGAGGUGGUCUUCCAUUGAUUCACACUGUUGUGAAGUGUGCUCAUUUCUGCAAUGGCAGCAUACUUUGGAGGUAUGGUCCAAUGGAGCCAUUGCUUCUGUCUGAAAAUGCACAUAUGCCAGAGGAAUAUCUUAAAUGGUUGCACUUCAACUAUUCAAAGUGCUUUCAGCCCAUGAAUAAGAAUUGUAGGAUUAACAUUGGGCAGGAUUUUACAAGGCUGUGAGCUAACAAUGUUUCAGUUUGCAUUUCCGUGACAUAUCCCACAACAAAGUUUGUAACACAGGUCCUUUUGUCAUUGGGUCAAAGGAGAGAAAGGCUCCAGGGAAAGCCUCCAGACAGUUUUAGAUAAUUGUUGCAAAGGAAAGCUCUGCCAAGACCUAUGGAAUUGUUUCCUAUUUCACUCAUUGUAUUCUGCUUCUGGACUCCUAGGUCUCCCUAGUAUGAACAUUGCUGACCCAUCCUGUUAUCAUUUAGCCUUGCUUCCAAGUCUUUGUUGUAUGCAUAUUUCUUUCUUCAAGUGACAUUUUAACUCAUUUGAGCAUAUCUGAUUGAUGAGAGGGAGUCAGAGAACAGGUAUUUGGCUCAAGCACUUGCAAGACCAGACACUUACGUACAGGAGAUCAGCUCUAGACCUGUUUCUGAAAUCUCAUUUCUGUGAUACUACAGCAAAUUAUGCAAGUUGUGGAAAGAGCAUAGACUGAAUUCAAAUAAUUGGUUCAACAGAACAAU